GAUGAACGCUGGCGGCGUGCUUAACACAUGCAAGUCGAACGGUGAAGGCGGAGCUUGCUCUGCUGGAUCAGUGGCGAACGGGUGAGUAACACGUGAGCAAUCUGCCCCUGACUCUGGGAUAAGCGCUGGAAACGGCGUCUAAUACUGGAUACGAGCUGCGAAGGCAUCUUCAGCAGCUGGAAAGAAUUUCGGUCAGGGAUGAGCUCGCGGCCUAUCAGCUUGUUGGUGAGGUAAUGGCUCACCAAGGCGUCGACGGGUAGCCGGCCUGAGAGGGUGACCGGCCACACUGGGACUGAGACACGGCCCAGACUCCUACGGGAGGCAGCAGUGGGGAAUAUCGCACAAUGGGCGAAAGCCUGAUGCAGCAACGCCGCGUGAGGGACGACGGCCUUCGGGUUGUAAACCUCUUUUAGCAGGGAAGAAGCGAAAGUGACGGUACCUGCAGAAAAAGCGCCGGCUAACUACGUG
rnacentral:rRNA from 1 species